GAAGAGGCCAAGGACGGUCUGAGAGGUCGAAAGACCAAAUAUCUGAAUCAAUAAGGUUGGUUAUUUAAAACUGCAUUGCAAGAUCAUAAGCGAAGUUUCAAAACAAUAGCUCUCACUUAAAGUUUUAACAAAGGCAUAACUUUAAAUUUGUUACAUUUGAAAAAAAAGGAAGUGACACAAAUUUUGAUUUGUUUCAUAACCCGAGUCAUUUGAAAUUCAAUUUCAACAGUUAACGAGCCCUGGGCGAGUUUUAUUGUUACUAUUUUAAUUAAAUUACAAUAGUUGAUAUCAAGCGAUAUCCAAUUAUCACAGGUUGCCACAUGUGAAGCAUGAUCUGCAUAAACUUCCAGAGAACCUGGUGUGGUUCGUGUUGCUCAGUCUGUAGUUUCCUAUGUUGUUUCUUGUGUACUAUUAUUUGUCUGUAUGUCGUUUAAACUAACAACGCCAUGGCUUAAAAAUACAUCAGACAUUUUAUGACUUUUGGUAAGCUUCAGGACAUAGUUAAAUUUGACAAAACAGAAGAUUAUCAUGUGGAACGUGUGAGAUUUUUGUAAAUAAACUCUAAAAAAAAAAAGACUCAUCAGUGACGCUCGAAUCCAAAAAAGUUAAAAAGGCAAAAUAAAUUAUUGACGAAAUCACGAAAUUGCCAUGAAAGAAAUGUAUGUAGUUUUCACAGUAGAACUUUUCCGUGUAUACACUAACUACAAAUAUAUGCAUGAAUGAACAUUAUUGGUAACAUUUCAUUUUAUUUUAAUCAAGAUGGUAAAAAAUAAUUGCAUUGCUUUUUUGGGAUCAAAUACGGUGUUCUCACCCCCCCCUUUUCCCCAAUAAAAUCUAAAUAAUUUACACAUUGAUUUUUGAAAAUCCAUCUAUCUCUGGAUUUAAAAGCAUUCACUGCAUUUGAAUUAUAUUUGCCUUUUGUUUUUGGGAGAAUUUAUCAAGUAGAGAAGUACAUGUAGUAAACUAGAGUUUAUAACACCAUAUAGAAUCUUCAAUUUUUUCAUUCAUCAGGCAAGGGCCUCUUGAAAUUAUAUGUUUUACUUCGAUACUAGUAUAGGGAGUAAAUUUAACAAACUUGAACAUAAAACUUAGCUAAUAAAUUCCGUAUUGAAAACACCUGUAAUACAAGUAGUCGCCAAAAUAAACUAGCAAUAGACAAACAAGAAGAUUACUUAUGUUGUAAAUAUGUGCUUAAUUAAGUAAUCAUUGUGAAUUUAAGUCAGAUAGAAAUAUUAAAUUUGAAAAUGUUGUCAAAUAUGAUUUAAGCAUAUUUACCUUUAACAUUUCAAAUAUGAUUAUUUGAAAUAUCUAGCAAGAGAUUGGUCAUGUCUAACUUAUAAAAAAGAUAUGAAUGAGUUGAUCAUUUCAAAAAGUCUAUUUGCAUAAGUAUCAUAGAAUGACAUCUCAUAUGAGACAAUUCAUCUGAUUUAAUAGAGAUGAGAAUUGAUUGAAUUUGCAUUGUAAAGGUAUUUAAACCUUAUAACAUUAACACUCAUCAGAUAUCAUGUUUUGUAUUUACUUAUAUGUUGCACUUUGUUAAUACAUCUAUUUCUCAAACCACUCCUUUUAGGAAGGUAAAUAAUAUUCAUUGAUAUUUUGUUUUGUUAACGUGCUGGUUUUCAGAUAAGAUCUAUAUCUUUAAUCUUAUAGAGAAAAAAAAACUAACGAAUGCAACAGUUAUACAAACUUAAGUUGCUGUGAAAAUUGAAAUCUGAAGUAAGCCCAAGUAAUGAUAUGGGUAGUACAGAAUUUAAUACAAGUUUGAAAAGUUUUGGUCCAUUGAAAAUUAUGCCACACAGCCCUAUGUUUUGACCAUUGAAUAAAAUAGUAGGGCACAUUAACUUUCCAUUCUAGAAUAUAUUUGUUUUAUACUUACUUCAUAGUUAAUGUGCUACAGGUUUAGCCGCGAAGGGAGUUCGUAUAUGACAUUGCAUUGUCUAUAAUUACAGAAAUACAGCCUUUACGCCGGACAUGCUUUUUAUGACAAUUAUAAGCUGCGUUUCAACAUCUAGUUCAAGUGUAACCUGAUUACCUAUAAUAUUUUAAACAAAAUAAUGAAUUGUAUUUGUUAACUUAUGUAAUUAAGAAUAAACUUUUAAACUUUUUUGCCAAUUGUUUGUCAAUUUCGGAUAUCUUGUAGUUUAUCUUAAUUGGUCAAUACUAUAAGGGUACAAACAAAUAAAUUGUGAUUGAUAUUACAUUGAAAAAAAAAUAUUUAUUUUCAUCUUUCUAUCCUUUUUAUACAUUUUUCAAACGCGUUGAUAUAUAUUUGCAGGAACGUUUGUUUGUAACGUACACAUUUAAAAGUAAAUAGUUAUCAAAGGUACCAGGAUUAUAAUUUAGUACGCCAGACACGCGUUUCGUAUACAUAAGACUCAUCAGUGACGAUCAUAUCAAAAUAUUUAUAGAGGCAAACAAGUACAAAGUUAACGAGCAUAGAAGAUCCAAAUGAUAAUAAAAUGAAAGCAACCGCAGUUGCAACUAUUAAACAAAGAUGAAGUAAAUGUAUGUAAUGUCUUAAAUUAAAUUAAAUUAAUAAAAUUUAGGAAAAUAAAGAAAACCAAAAAAAGUCAUACAAUUCAUUACACGUAUUUUUCACAAACACUUUUCUUGAUAUAUAUCAAUUAUACCCACUGUGAGUGAUUAAACGUUGAUUAAAACUGAGUUAUUGAUAUUGGUCAUGUUUAUUUAAGGCACCAGAAAAUAUCGAACUAAUGGCGAUUAUGGAAAGUUAUGUUUUUAAGACCAUCAAAUAAAGUAAAACACUUGUCACAAGCAUGCAUAUACUAAAAAUUAAAAAAAAAUCUUUGGGGUAUUUAUUUGUUUGCGACAUUGAAGAAUGUACACCAAUGAUACAUUAAUUAUUUCAAUUUCAAGGAAAUAGGCCUACAGAUACAUGUAUAUGUACAAAAAUAAUUAAAAUUAAAAUCACAAAAAUACUGAACUCCGAGGAAAAUUCAAUCGGAUAGUCUAAUGAAAUGGCAAAAUCAAAUGACAAAACACAUCUAAAGACUGGACAACAACUGCAUAUUUCUGACUUAGUACAGGCAUUUCAAAUAAUAGAGGAGAUUCAUUAUCACUUUCAAUACAAAAUAUGAAAUCCAACUGAAAAACUAAGUACCAAAUUAUAUAAUUAGUCUUAUUGUGUAAUAUUAGUUUUCAGUUCAAUUUUCGUAUAUCCUACGUUUCUUUUUACUUGUAUUGCUUAUAAUGACGAACAAAAAGUAAAAUAACAAAAAUACCGACCUCACACGGAUUCUAAAUAGAAAGUAUCUGAUCAUAUGACAACAUUUAAAGCUAGAAAACACAUCAAUUGAAUGGAUAACAAACGUCUCAUUAGAUUCACAAAAUCCUCUAUUUUUGCUGAAUUUAUAGCUAGACAAAAGUCAUAUUCAUAAACACUUAAUAAUAUAUAUUAUAUUAAUAUGUGGCCAAGCAAAUUAUAUCUAUAACAAAUAAACAUCCGCUAACAGAAAUACUGAACCAAUUAAUUAUAACAUAUGUAACUCAGAUUUGAUUCUCUUUUAUAGGAGACAAAGAUUUCAAAGUAAUUUCCCAAUGAUACGUCAUUCUGCAACAGGCAAUGAUGAUGUGUUUGGAUAUGAAUAUGAAUAUAUGCAGCUUACUCAGAUGUAAUUGUCAAAAUUUGUUUGUGUCACCUUAGUUGCUACAGGUCGAUUUAUUUCGUUGUUUGGUUUUUUUUUUCUUCUUUUUUGUAAUCAAUU
rnacentral:lncRNA from 1 species